GACGAACGCUGGCGGCGUGCUUAACACAUGCAAGUCGAACGGAAAGGCCUGCUUCGGUGGGUGCUCGAGUGGCGAACGGGUGAGUAACACGUGGGUGAUCUGCCCUGCACUUUGGGAUAAGCCUGGGAAACUGGGUCUAAUACCGGAUAGGACCAUGGGAUGCAUGUCUUGUGGUGGAAAGCUUUUGCGGUGUGGGAUGGGCCCGCGGCCUAUCAGCUUGUUGGUGGGGUGAUGGCCUACCAAGGCGACGACGGGUAGCCGGCCUGAGAGGGUGUCCGGCCACACUGGGACUGAGAUACGGCCCAGACUCCUACGGGAGGCAGCAGUGGGGAAUAUUGCACAAUGGGCGCAAGCCUGAUGCAGCGACGCCGCGUGGGGGAUGACGGCCUUCGGGUUGUAACCUCUUUCAGUGGGGACGAAGCGUAAGUGACGGUACCUACAGAAGAAGCACCGGCCAAC
rnacentral:rRNA from 1 species